rnacentral:tRNA from 1 species
AGGACUGUAAUCAAGUAUGAUAUCUGGGUUGCAUUCAGAAAGUGUUUUUAAAACCUGUCUU